rnacentral:rRNA from 1 species
GUUCGCCGCCCGCGACUCGGCGGGAAGUCCAUNGAACCUUAUCAUUUAGAGGAAGGAGAAGUCGUAACAAGGUUUCCGUAGGUGAACCUGCGGAAGGAUCAUUG